rnacentral:rRNA from 1 species
GACGAACGCUGGCGGCGUGCUUAACACAUGCAAGUCGAACGGUAAGGCCCCUUCGGGGGUACACGAGUGGCGAACGGGUGAGUAACACGUGGGUGAUCUGCCCUGCACUUCGGGAUAAGCCUGGGAAACUGGGUCUAAUACCGGAUAGGACCACGCUCUGCAUGGAGUGUGGUGGAAAGCUUUUGCGGUGUGGGAUGGGCCCGCGGCCUAUCAGCUUGUUGGUGGGGUGAUGGCCUACCAAGGCGACGACGGGUAGCCGGCCUGAGAGGGUGUCCGGCCACACGGGGACGGGGAAGCGGCCCAGACUCCAAGGGGGGGGAGGGGGGGGGAAUUUUGCAAAAGGGGCGAAGGCUGGAGGCAGGGACGCCGGGUGGGGGAGGACGGCCUUGGGGUUGUAAACCUCUUUCAGUACCGACGAAGCGAAAGGGACGGGAGGGACAAAAAAAGCCCCGGCCAACUACGU